GCAAAAAUCAUCGGAAAAAUUCAAAUUCAGUGAAGACCAGAGACAAUUAUGUGCCUACAGAACUUAAACUACGAACUAUCGAAACUGACAGGCGAUCUACAGCAAAAAGACACGGAAAUCAGAGACACCGAAAGUCGAGCAGUAUUCAAGUAUCAUACGAAAACGUGUUUCGAGAAGUAGAAUUCUUGAAACUGUGUCCUCAACUGCGACAUACCAUAAAAGAUUUACUCAACAGUACAUCGCGAUUUGAAAAUAAAGGAUGACAUAUGCAACUUAAGUGAUUUAUGAGGUCAUUCAAAGUUUCGAACGUCAGAGAGAAAGAAUAGUCACCCACCGAAUAAAGUCAACUGCGCUUUCUCUACAAGAGAGCCAUGAUCGAUAUACGCACAGCGGAUCUUAUUUUUCGUCUCGAAGAAUCGGAACUUAAUAACCUAAAGAAUAACGAACGAGAUACCAUCUAAUUUUUAAAUAUUUUGCAUUAACGUAAAGCACAUUUCCAUGUCAAAAGCAUACCUACAGACGCUCUUAAAAAUACAGUCGAAGAAUUACACACGUUUUGGAAAACGCAGUCUUCAACCAUGACAGAAUUAUAUGGCAAAAUUAAAAAGUGGACAGCCAUAGCUGCUGAAGUAAAUAAAAAUAAUACCGAUCAUUACGACAAUGAUUACUUUUUACGACGGUUAUCUACUAUCUAAAGAAGAUUUAAACGAUCAAUUUGCCGGUUUCGUAAUUUAGUUAAAAUGUUUCGAAUAAAUCACGUCGAUAAAAACUUUUUGGAAAAAAAUUUAUCGAUUUUGUUGAUAAGUUGGAUGAAGUAUUAAAUUAUGCCUACGAAAUCGGAGAUGCAAUGAACAGCGUGUGGACUAACUAGAGCACCAUACAGGCGAAAAGAAAUAUGAAAAUACUCUGAUAAGUCAGAAACAAAUGGAAGAAGCUUUUCAUGCCAUGGUGGGUGAGAUUUUUGAAAAUCAUAAUAUCGAAAAAGAUUGCGUACACGCUAUUCUAAAAGAACCUGAAGUUUCCACAGCGACGAAAAAUCUAAAGUAAAUAAUGAACAAAGAUGUUACUUCUACUUAAUGUCAAAUUAAUUUAACUUUAAAUUUAUGUAUUCAAUAUGUUUUUUACUUUUUUUUUCAGCUAUAGGUUAUUAUUUUGUACAUAGAACGUUAAAGAAGAUUAAUUGACGUUUGAUUCAAGCGAGGCCAACAUUUUCUUAUGGAGAAUUUUGGCCUCGUCUGAAUUAAACAUUAAUUAUUCUCGAAAUAUGAUUGAUUUAGUGUACGUAAUGAAGGAAGCGUAAAAGAAGUAAAAAUGUUUCAAAAAAAUAAAAAGUGAUUUAAUUGAAAAAAAAGAACUAAAAAAUAAGAUACUUAUUUCUUGGAGAAUGCAAAAAUAAUAAUAAAUAAACAUAUACAAGACUAAUGAGGUAAUAAUGAAAGUAAAGAAAAUAAUCGCAGAACACUGUCGUCACUCAAUCCGGCAAGCCGGUCAAAAAAAAUCCACACUCGAACUUCUCAAAGUCAAAGUCAAAAUCAAAAAUCAAACUGUCAAACUUCGGUCAUAAUUCCAUAAACUGAAAAUAUUUUUCUGCGGUAACUGAA